rnacentral:rRNA from 1 species
ACGAACGCUGGCGGCGUGCCUAAUACAUGCAAGUAGAACGCUGAAGAGAGGAGCUUACUCUUCUUGGAUGAGUUGCGAACGGGUGAGUAACGCGUAGGUAACCUGCCUUGUAGCGGGGGAUAACUAUUGGAAACGAUAGCUAAUACCGCAUAACAAUGGAUGACACAUGUCAUUUAUUUGAAAGGGGCAAUUGCUCCACUACAAGAUGGACCUGCGUUGUAUUAGCUAGUAGGUGAGGUAAUGGCUCACCUAGGCGACGAUACAUAGCCGACCUGAGAGGGUGAUCGGCCACACUGGGACUGAGACACGGCCCAGACUCCUACGGGAGGCAGCAGUAGGGAAUCUUCGGCAAUGGGGGCAACCCUGACCGAGCAACGCCGCGUGAGUGAAGAAGGUUUUCGGAUCGUAAAGCUCCGUUGUAAGUCAAGAACGGGUGUGAGAGUGGAAAGUUCACACUGUGACGGUAGCUUACCAGAAAGGGACGGCUAACUACGUG